rnacentral:rRNA from 1 species
GACGAACGCUGGCGGCGUGCUUAACACAUGCAAGUCGAGCGGUAAGGCCCUUUCGGGGGUACACGAGCGGCGAACGGGUGAGUAACACGUGGGUGACCUGCCCUUAGCUCUGGGAUAAGCCUGGGAAACUGGGUCUAAUACCGGAUAUGACUCCAUAACGCAUGUUGUGGGGUGGAAAGCCUUGUGCGGCUAGGGAUGGGCCCGCGGCCUAUCAGCUUGUUGGUGGGGUGAUGGCCACCAAGGCGACGACGGUAGCCGGCCUGGAGGGCGACCGGCCACACUGGGACUGAGACACGGCCCAGACUCCUACGGGAGGCAGCAGUGGGGAAUCUUGCGCAAUGGGCGAAAGCCUGACGCAGCGACGCCGCGU